AAAAAUUGAAAUUUGCAAAGACUAGAAGGGCAUUUAGAUGGACAUAUAUACUGGUUUAUACAUUUUGUGGGCGCAUGUGAAAAGAAUGUUACACUGUCUAUAAAAUUCAAUAUAAAAGAAUUGAUAUGGAUGUGGAGGAGCUGGAUAUUAGGCAAGGAUCCAUGUAGCCGACCCCAUUUAGUUGGGAUA